rnacentral:rRNA from 1 species
UACGUAGGGGGGCAAGCGUUGUCCGGAUUUAUUGGGCGUAAAGAGCGUGUAGGCGGCCUGACAGGUCUGCUGUGAAAACUCGAGGCUCAACCUCGAGAUGUCGGCGGAAACCGUCUGGCUAGAGUCCGGAAGAGGAGAGUGGAAUUCCUGGUGUAGCGGUGAAAUGCGCAGAUAUCGGGAGGAACACCUGUGGCGAAGGCGGCUUCUGGGCCGUUACCUGACGCUGAGGUGCGAAAGCGUGGGGAGCAAACAGG